CGCAGCGCGUCGCUCAGGCCUGGACCUUGCCAAGAGCGGAAUAGGAGAAAAGGCCGGUUGAAGUUGAAGAGGAGGCUAGCGGGGCUCGAGCGCGCGCCUGCGCACGAAAGCGAGCACGCGCGGGCGUUGUGGACGGUUCCUGGGCAACCGCCCCUCCUGCUCCGGUAGCACGCGCCCCCUCCUCAGGUCCCGCCCUUUCCCAGCCCCUGGGGUCACGUGAGAGGCCGCUGUCCUCCCCCCCCUGUCCCCCGACCUCCUCUUAGGACUAGGGAGCUCUUAGGAGUAGGGAGCUCUGUUGCAGGAAUCUGGAAAGGUUCCGUGCUUUGUGUGUUCUGGUGCAACCGGCGCGAGCUGUCACCGACCCCUGCCGCCGCGGGAAGGAGUUAUUUUUUUUGCAGAGUAAAAGCACCAGCGCCCCGUGUAGCAAACGUGUUCACAUCAUCAAGGGGAACAAAGUCUGGGGCUGAGCACACGCCUGCACCGAGUAGGUUCCGAGGCCAGCUCCCAGCCCCGCUGCAGCAUGCCUUGGGUGCGCUGUCACUGAGACCAGGGUGUUCCUGGACUCCUCUACAAGUUCAUUCUGGCGUCCCUCCCUGCUUCCCCCCAGAGACUCGAAUCAGAACAUUUCCGAAGCUUUAUUAAUUUCCAAGGGAAAAGAUUUCUCACAUCAGGGGGGAAAGGAGGUUGUGACUCAGCAGCGGACUUGUUGAGGCUUGCAAAAUGGAAGAGAAAAGAGCUUUCCAUGUCAAGCUCUGAGGAGCGCUGGAAGGGGACUUAAUCCUGAGUAAUUCCUUUACGCAGGAACAUUUUACAUAGAGAAAAACAUACUUAACUGUAGGUCAAUAAUAACGGAUCCACACAACGCAAUAAAGAGAAAACCUGCAUACUGAAAGUAUAUAAAUAAAUGUCAAUGAGGCUUGCGCUUGUCAUCCCAGGAGGAUGGAGCAGAAGGAUUGCUGAGAGGUCAAGGUCACGUUCCAUCACUGAGGGAAGUCAGAGCAGGAAUUCGAAGCAGUAACCUGGGAACAAGAACUGAAGUUAAGACCAUGGAAGAAUACUGCUUGCUGUCUUACUCCUUCUGACCUUCUCUGUUU
rnacentral:lncRNA from 1 species